rnacentral:rRNA from 1 species
CGCGUAGGCGGCGUGACAAGUCAAUUGUGAAAUCUCCGGGCUUAACUCGGAACGGUCAAUUGAUACUGUUGUGCUAGAGUACAGAAGGGGCAAUCGGAAUUCUUGGUGUAGCGGUGAAAUGCGUAGAUAUCAAGAGGAACACCAGAGGUGAAGACGGGUUGCUGGGCUGAUACUGACGCUGAGGCGCGAAAGCUAGGGUAGCAAACG